UACAGAGGUCUCAAGCGUUGUUCGGAUUCAUUGGGCGUAAAGAGCUCGUAGGCGGCUUGUCACGUCGGGUGUGAAAGCCCGGGGCUUAACCCCGGGUCUGCAUUCGAUACGGGCAGGCUAGAGUGUGGUAGGGGAGAUCGGAAUUCCUGGUGUAGCGGUGAAAUGCGCAGAUAUCAGGAGGAACACCGGUGGCGAAGGCGGAUCUCUGGGCCAUUACUGACGCUGAGGAGCGAAAGCGUGGGGAGCGAACAGG
rnacentral:rRNA from 1 species